CCCUUAGAUGUCCCGGGCCGCACGCGCGCUACACUGGCAUGUUCAACAAGUUUCUCCUAGUUCGACAGGACUGGGAAAUCUUUGAACGCAUGUCGUGAUAGGGAUAGAUCAUUGCAAUUAUUGAUCUUGAACGAGGAAUUCCUAGUAAACGCGAGUCAUCAGCUCGCAUUGAUUACGUCCCUGCCCUUUGUACACACCGCCCGUCGCACCUACCGAUUGAAUGUUUCGGUGAAGAUUCCGGAUAGGACUGAUUUGAUUUAUUUCAUUUCUGACCUAAAAGCUAUCUAAACCUCAACAUUUAGAGGAAGGUGAAGUCGUAACA
rnacentral:rRNA from 1 species